UACUUGAGUAUAAGCUCCACUUGAAAGGCGUGCACAGUCAGCACCGCCACGUGUGGCCAUUACCAUACAAUAUACGUCAGGCAGCGCAGGUGGGAAGCAAAGUGCGGACAGUAUGUAGACUCGUUACAGGCACACCAAGUGGACACAAGUGGGCUGCGAAUUUGUUGUUGUUUUUUUUUUUUGUAAAAAGCAGCAAUAUGAAAUUAAAUAGCGAUAGCUGUAUUUGUGCAAGUACCAUUAAGUGUCUAUUUACGCGCGCAGUAAGUGGACUAUGUGAAAAAUAAAUGCAAAUAAGGAUAAGUAAAUACUCGUACGGGAUUAAAUAUAUGUAAAUAUGCACAUAUAUUGUUAUUAUAAUUCAAUUUAAGCUUCGAAUUUUGAAAUGUUAUUUAAAUGUAACAUCUAGAAUUUGGAUGCGGUGCGCUUUAUAAGAGAAACUUUCGAGGCUGGAGAAAGAGUAGAGAUUUUCGGCGAUCAAGUCAAUAAAUAAAGCGCUGAGUGUUCAGUUGAUUAUACCCAUGCAAACUUCAUCACGAGGACACCGGCUAACGGAAAUACUACAACGUAAGUG